rnacentral:lncRNA from 10 species
CUCCCCGCGGCGUUGGUGUUCAGUCCCCACCUGGCUGCCGGAGCUCCGAGCUGCGGACCUGGAGUGGCUGGGAGGAGCUGGGGCACCAGCCGCUUGUCAAACCCGGCUUAUAGAUGGGGAAACUGAGGCUCAGAGAAGGAAGGAAAGAAGCUGCCAUUUUCCAAGAACAUGCUAACAUGGGCAAGAGGAGUCCCAAGAAGAUGGGAAGUGACCCAUGAGGGCCACAAGAACGUGGCAGUUUCUGCCAGAUUGAGGGGCAGGGGGCAGCAGUAUGGAGGCGACCUGGGAAUCAUGAGUUUUGACUCCUGCUCUCAGUUUCAUCACUUCUAAGAUUGACAGACAAAAUAUAUAACAUUCACUACAGUUUGAAUUUCAGAUAAACAUUUAAGCAUGUUCCUUUCCAAACACACACACACAUACACACAGAUAAGUGUGUCCUAUGCAACAUUUGGGACACAUUUAUACUUUAAAAAUUGUUG